rnacentral:rRNA from 1 species
GACAGAGGAUGCAAGCGUUAUCCGGAAUGAUUGGGCGUAAAGCGUCUGUAGGUGGCUUUUUAAGUCCGCCGUCAAAUCCCAGGGCUCAACCCUGGACAGGCGGUGGAAACUACCAAGCUGGAGUACGGUAGGGGCAGAGGGAAUUUCCGGUGGAGCGGUGAAAUGCGUAGAUAUCUGGAAGAACACCAAAGGCGAAGGCAGUGUCCUGGAUGGUCGCUGACGCUGAGAGGCGAAAGCCAGGGGAGCGAACGGG